GUUUGAGUUGAUAACUGAUUUGAUUGCUUCCCAAGACAUUUAGCGAAAAGCAGCCUCCAUUUACAAAACAAGACAUAAAAUUACGAUCACUUCUAAUCCCUUGGAAUCACAAAUUCUUAACACAGCUCAAAACACCAACUCAAAGUUUUUACACACGGCUGAAUGCAGCAUAAUUAAAACAUACAUAACUCACCCAAAAUUUA
rnacentral:misc_RNA from 1 species